GGUUCCGUGGCCGAGCGGUUAGGCAAUGGUUUGCAAAACCAUGUACAGCAGUUCGAAUCUGCUCGGAACCUCGA
rnacentral:tRNA from 1 species